rnacentral:rRNA from 1 species
UAGAAGGCAGCAGUGGGGAAUAUUGCACAAUGGGCGCAAGCCUGAUGCAGCCAUGCCGCGUGUAUGAAAAAGGCCUUCGGGUUGUAAAGUACUUUCAGUCGUGAGGAAGGUGUUAAGGUUAAUAACCUUAGCAAUUGACGUUAGCGACAGAAGAAGCACCGGCUAACUCCGUGCCAGCAGCCGCGGUAAUACGGAGGGUGCGAGCGUUAAUCGGAAUUACUGGGCGUAAAGGGCACGCAGGCGGUUAAUUAAGUUGGAUGUGAAUCCCCGGGCUUAACCUGGGAAUGGCAUUCAAGACUGGUUAGCUAGAGUCUUGUAGAGGGGGUAGAAUUCCAUGUGUAGCGGUGAAAUGCGUAGAGAUGUGGAGGAAUACCGGUGGCGAAGGCGGCCCCUGGACAAAGGCUGACGCUCAUGUGCGAAAGCGUGGGGAGCAAAC